rnacentral:rRNA from 1 species
GUGGGGAAUCUUGGUCAAUGGGCGCAAGCCUGAACCAGCGACGCCGCGUGAGUGAUGAAGGCCUUCGGGUUGUAAAGCUCUGUGGGAAGGGAAGAAAAAGCCAAGUCGAAUAGGCUUGGAAAUUGACGGUACCUUCUUAGCAAGCACCGGCUAACUCUGUGCCAGCAGCCGCGGUAAGACAGAGGGUGCGAACGUUGCUCGGAAUUACUGGGCGUAAAGCGCGUGUAGGCGGAUAGGCAAGUCCGGCGUGAAAGCCCUAGGCUCAACCUAGGAAUUGCACUGGAAACUGCCUGUCUGGAGUACUGGAGAGGAAAGCGGAAUUCCUGGUGUAGAGGUGAAAUUCGUAGAUAUCAGGAGGAACACCGGUGGCGAAGGCGGCUUUCUGGACAGUUACUGACGCUGAGACGCGAAAGCGUGGGGAGCAAACAGGAUUAGAAACCCUAGUAGUCC